UACGUAGGGUGCAAGCGUUGCCCGGAUUUAUUGGGCGUAAAGAGCGUGUAGGCGGUUAGAUAGGUCCGUUGUGAAAACUCGAGGCUCAACCUCGAGACGCCGAUGGAAACCAUCUGACUAGAGUCUGGAAGAGGAGAGUGGAAUUCCUGGUGUAGCGGUGAAAUGCGCAGAUAUCAGGAAGAACACCCGUGGCUAAGGCGGCUCUCUAGUACGUGACUGACGCUGAGACGCGAAAGCGUGGGGAGCGAACAGG
rnacentral:rRNA from 1 species